AUCUUACGUGUCCUGCAGCUAUCAAACAGGCACAUUUCAUAACUUGAGGCUUGCAUGCAGCAUAAACACACCCACAUUCUUCAUCCCAAACUUCCCCUUAUAAAUACAGAGAGAACACACAUAUUGACACAGAUUACUUUGAUUUCUGCACCAGGCAAAGACUUUCUAAGGCAUUUGACAACAAAACAAAAUGAGUGAACAAGGCAAAGGGGACGAGAUGGGAAAGAAUCCACAGGAGGAGAACGCAGGGUCUGACUCAGAUGGAGAGGGAGGAAAGGGGAAGGGGAGAGGAAAAGAGAAAAAGGGAGGCAAAGGAGGAGAACAUGGAGGAUGUGGACGUGGACAAGAAAUGAGAGAGAAGCACGGUGGCGGUCGCGGAGGUCAUCACCAUAAGUAAUAAAGAACUCCUUGAGUUGCCAUUCUGUGAUAAUAAUUGUAAAGAAUUAUUCACAUAUCUAAUAAAUUAAUCCCAAAAAGGG